GACAGAGGGUGCAAACGUUGUUCGGAAUUACUGGGCGUAAGGCGCAUGUAGGCUGUCGCAUAGGUCGGAUGUGAAAUCCCUCGGCUCAACCGAGGACGUGCAUUCGAAACCCUGCGACUCGAGUCCUGGAGAGGGUAGUGGAAUUCUCGGCGUAGAGGUGAAAUUCGUAGAUAUCGAGAGGAACACCGGCGGCGAAAGCGGCUACCUGGACAGAGACUGACGCUGAGAUGCGAAAGCGUGGGGAGCAAACAGG
rnacentral:rRNA from 1 species